rnacentral:rRNA from 1 species
AUUAAAGGGCCGCGGUAUUUUAACCGUGCAAAGGUAGCAUAAUCAUUAGGUUUUUAAUUAGAAUCUUGUAUGAAUGGUUCGACAAAAGAAAUACUGUCUUUAUAUUAAAUUUUGAAUUUAACUUUUAAGUGAAAAGGCUUAAAUAUAUUAAAGGGACGAUAAGACCCUAUAAAACUUUACAUUGUAAUUUUAUUUAAUUGAGUUUGUGAAAUAAAGAUUUAAUUUAAUUAUAUGUUAUGUUGGGGAGACAAAGGUAAAAUAAAUUUUAACUGCUUUAUGUUAAAACAUAUAUUUAUGGAUAUAUUAAAAGAUCCUUUAUAAAGAUUAAAAGAUUAAGUUACUUUAGGGAUAACAGCGUUAUUUUUUUUGAGAGUUCCUAUCGAAAAGAGAGUUUGCGACCUCGAUGUUGAAUUAAAAUAUCUUUAUAGUGCAGAAGCUAUGAAAGAAGGUCUGUUCGACCUUUAAAUUUUUACAUGAUUUGAGUUCA